CCUUUGUACACACCGCCCGUCGCUACUACCGAUUGAAUGAUCCAGUGAGGCUUUCGGACUGGCCCAGGAAGAGUGGCAACACUCAUCUCGGGCCGGAAAGUUAUCCAAACUUGGUCAUUUAGAGG
rnacentral:rRNA from 1 species